rnacentral:misc_RNA from 1 species
GAUGAAGAACGUAGCGAAAUGCGAUAAGUAAUGCGAAUUGCAGAAUUCCGUGAGUCAUCGAAUCUUUGAACGCACAAUGCGCCCUCUGGUAUUCCGGAGGGCAUGCCUGUCUGAGCGUCAUUGUCAACCCUCAAGCUCAGCUUGCUGUUGGGUCCCCGUCGUUGCUUUAACGGCGGACCCGAAAGGUAAUGGCAGAGUCCGUGAGACCCUAGACGCAGCGAGCUUCUAGCACGCGUCUGGACGUUUUUCGGGCUCGGUCUUAACUAGAUGAUAACUUCCGAUUGACCUCAGAUCAGGUAGGGAUACCCGCUGAACUUAAGCAUAUCAAUAAGCGGAGGA